rnacentral:misc_RNA from 1 species
AGCAGCCGCGGUAAUUCCAGCUCCAAUAGCGUAUAUUAAAGUUGUUGCAGUUAAAAGCUCGUAGUUGAAUUUCGGGAUUGACGUGAUGGUCGUGCCUUACGGGGUAUGAACUGUUGCUGUUGAUUUCUCACCUUCUGGAGAAACUUGAUGUCCUUAAUUGGGUGUCUUGCGGAUCCAGGACCUUUACCUUGAAAAAAUUAGAGUGUUUAAAGCAGGCAUUUUGCUCGAAUACAUUAGCAUGGAAUAAUAGAAUAGGACGGCAUGGUUCUAUUUUGUUGGUUUCUAGGAUCACCGUAAUGAUUAAUAGGGAUAGUUGGGGGCAUUAGUAUUCAAUUGUCAGAGGUGAAAUUCUUGGAUUUAUUGAAGACUAACUACUGCGAAAGCAUUUGCCAAGGAUGUUUUCAUUAAUCAAGAACGAAAGUUAGGGAUCGAAGACGAUCAGAUACCGUCGUAGUCUUAACCAUAAACUAUGCCGACUAGG